GACGAACGCUGGAGGCGUGCCUAAUACAUGCAAGUAGAACGCAGUUGCGAACGGGUGAGUAACGCGUAGGUAACUGCCUCAUAGCGGGGGAUAACUAUUGGAAACGAUAGCUAAUACCGCAUACUGUGAGAUGGACCUGCGUUGUAUUAGCUAGUUGGUGAGGUAAAGGCUCACCAAGGCGACGAUACAUAGCCGACCUGAGAGGGUGAUCGGCAACAAUGUGACUGAGACACGGCCCAGACUCCUACGGGAGGCAGCAGGAGGGAAUAUUGCACAAUGGGCGCAAGCCUGAUGCAGCCAUGCCGCGUGUAUGAAGAAGGCCUUCGGGUUGUAAAGUACUUUCAGCGGGGAGGCUUUACCCGCAGAAGAAGCACCUUCUAACUCCGUGCCAGCAGCCGCGGUAAUUC
rnacentral:rRNA from 1 species